CCCUAUUAUUUUAGAAUGUUAAUUGCUUGUGCUUGAGUAGUAUUAGUUAUGUUCUUGAAACUUAAAGAAUUUGGCGGUAUCUCAUUCCGUCCAGAGGAAUCUGUCUCGUUAUCGAUAGUCCGCGUUGGACCUUACUUGGAUUGCUUGUGGUUUGUAUACCGCCGUUUAUUGAUUAUCUUUUUAGAGUUGAGUAAUUUUCUGGUUUCUUUAUUUUGGUUUAUUUCAGGUCAAGGUGCAGCUUGUUUCUAAGUGUAUGAUGGAUUACAUUAUUAUUUGUUUUUGGAUUAUUGAUUUAAAUAUUGGUAUGAAAUUGGAUUUGGUUGUAAUGGUUUGUAGGUUGUUACUGUGAUAAUGGUUCUGGGAUAUGCACACAUCGCCCGUCGCUCUCGUUUUGUUAUUAAUGAGAUAAGUC
rnacentral:rRNA from 1 species